ensembl:lncRNA
AACUGCCCAAUAUCUGUCCUCCGCUUGCUAAUCUUCUAAGCCCCGCACUCAGCCUAAUUAUUACAAACCUGGGCUUCGCCUUCAUCGUUUCUAAGAUCCGCCCUCAUUUCUGUUGCUUCUCUCCGGGGCUCCACCUCUCGUCAGCCCAGCCCCGCUCUCAGUCUAUUUCUCCACACCCGGGCUCUGCCUUCUGUGCCCCUAAGCUCCGCCUUCAGUCUAAUGACCUUACACUGAGGUCCUGCUUCCCAGGUACAGAGGCUGCUCUCCUGGCGCUCACCAGUCCUUCCCGCAGUCCGGCUGUUGCCUGCUAUCCGCUGUGUAUUUGCACAGGGUAGGGGUGGGGAGCCGGUGGCUCCGGGCAACGGUGAUAAACCCGGCACAGAAGCAGAGUCGCCUUUCGGACCGUCCACUUGUAAGGCGGCCCGUCAUACAUGUAGUCCAGUAGUCCAGAGGAGAGGAACCUAGGUCGGCCCUGGAGAAGUUUUAGGCUAAGGCAGACCAGUGACAGAGUGUCCCAUCAGCCUCAGGAAGGCACUCAGAGACACAAGGAGCAGAACCCCUUUCCCAGACGUUAGAGUCGCCCCUCCCCCUCCAGGGACCGUUACCUGUUGCCUCCUGAAGGAUCAAUCUGGGAUUUUUCUCUAAAGUGACCUGAGGCAUCAUUUGUCUAGGGCACGUUUUCUUGUGGCCUCAGAAGCAUGUCCGUGCACUUGCUGUAGACUCCACACCCUUCAGUAUGGCAACACAACUACUUAAUCCUUAGAGGAUGUGCAGCCAAUCAAGGUGACUAGAGGCCUGCCAGGAGAGUUUACUAAAAGAUUUCAUUUCUCGGGUAUUCAGGUAACUUACCCACAAAAACUCAUUCUUUUUCUUUUCUUAAAUUUUAAUUUGAUGUAUGUUGGUGUUUUCCCGUAUAUACAUCUGUAGAAACCCUUGGAACCUUGAAACCCUUGGAACAGGAGUUACAGACAUGAACUGCUGUGUGGGUGCCGGGAAAUGAACUCAGGUCUUCUGGAAGAACAGCCUGGCUUCCUGACUCAUCAGUCUAGCCCCUGGAUUAUUUUUCAAGACAUUUCUCAUAUGUGCCUUAAAGAAUACUAGAAUUGUAUCUUAUAAGUAUAUCUUAAAGGGCAUUGUCUCCUGGAAGAAAGGUUUAUUGCAUACAGAAAUCAAUAGUCUAAAAGUAAUUAAAAUGUUUUUAUGUAUGCAAAAGAGGCGAAUGUGUAUGAAAGUUUUCAUCUGCUUCGUCAUAGUAUUCAAGAAAUUCUGGAGAAUUUCAGAUUUUCAAGAUUGCAGGCAUGUUUGGUUUUCUAAUUUUUGUUUUCUUUCAGGUUUUUGACAGGUUUACUUUCUAUAACUGCCAGGUCAGGGAGGGGUGUCUCAAUAUAUUGCCUGUACCUGAACUCUAAGGCACAAGUAAUUCUUUUGCCUCAAGAAUCCCAAAUGAUGAAAUUACAGGAUUGUGAGUUCAUACCGUCUAUGUAUACUUUGAUAAGACUUUGGAUUUAGAGUUUGGCAGAGACAUGGGAUAAGAUAUUUCUAUGAACUUAGAAAUAUGGAGAGUGGUGGCUGGAGAGAUGGCUCAGCGGUUAAGAGCACUGACCGCUCUUCCAAAGGUCCUGAAUUCAAUUCCCAGCAACCAAAUGGUGGCUCACAAGAUUCUUUCAUGAGAUCUGAUGCCUCCUUCUGUGAGACAGUGACAGUGUACUCACUUAAAUAAAUCUUUAAAAAGAAAAAAAAAGAAAUCUGGAGAGCAUAGUGAUGUGGAUUGCAUUAUGUUCCAUUAAAACCUAUAUGCUAUGGUAUAGUGGCACAUAUUGUAAUCCCAGCACCUGGGAGGUAGAGUUAGGAAAAUUAUAAACUCAAGGCCAUUCUUGGUUAUAUAUAGUGAGUUUGAGGCCAAGCUGGGCUACAUAAAACCUUGUUUCAAGAAAAAGUAGAUAAGCAAAGAAUUUUUUAUAUUUCCCAGUGAGGCCAUAUAGUUGUUAUGGUUGCCCUGACAACAUAAUAUAGACAUUGUCAAGAAAGAAAAAUGGUACAAGUGCAGGGUGUCUGUCUGUCCUCUAAGAGCUCAGGAGGCCUGGGCAAGAGGCAGAAAGCUCUCAGGUUGGGAAAUGGCCUGGGUUACAAACUGGGACUAUGUGAGAAAGCAAGUGAGAAGACACUGCAGGGGGAGAGGGCUCCGUGGUUAAGAGCACUUGCUGUGCCGGGUAGCACAGACUUUAAUCCCAGGAUGCAGGACACAGAGUCACGCUGUGAGUUCAAGGCCAGUUCCUAGAGGGACUCUUAACCACCCCCAAACAACAACAACAACAGCAGCAGCAGCAACAACAACAGCAACCAUGACAACAACAAGAAGCAGCUCUUGUUGCUUUUGCCGAAGACCUAGGUUUGGUUCCCAGCACCAGCAUGGCAGUUUACAGCCAUCUGUAGCUACAGUUGACGGGGAUCUGAUCCCCCCUUCUGACCCCCAGGGGCACCAACCACCCCUGUAAAUUACACAUAGAUGCAUGUUGGCAAAACACUCACACACAUCAAAUCUUAAAAUGUUUUUUUUUUAAAAGACAAUACAGAUCGGGGAAAACAAUUUGCAAACUCUGUGUCUUACAGUCAGCCUUGAAUAUAUGAAUAAGUCUAAACUCAACAAAAAGACAACCCAAUGUAAAAAUGAGAGAUGAUGCCAGGCAAGUGGCUAAAGUCUGUAAUUCUAGCUAAUGGGCAGGUUGAAGCAGGAAGGUCACGAGUUCAAGGUCUACUUCAGCAACUCAAUGAGACGCUGCCUCAAAUUUUCAAACAGAAAAUGAGGACUGAGGGUCCAGCUCUAGUAGAACACUUGACUCAGAGAGACAGAGAGGAAGGGAUGAGGGGAAGGAGUUGAAGAGAUAUUUCUUUAAUGAUAUAUAAACAGCAGGAAGAACAUGGAAAGUUGACUGCAUAGUCAUUAAGAAAAUGCAAAUCACAAUUUUACUAAGAUAUCCAAUCAAACUUUUGAGGAUUUCUGAAAGAGAAAGUUUUAAGAAGGAGGGAUUGGUUCCCCUCAUAUACUGCUAUUGGAAAUGAAAAUGAUUUUACAAGCAAAGCAUCUUUGUAAAAAUAUGGAAUAAUUCUUUGAAAAUUCAGUUAAGAUGUGACACAGAAGUUCUACUCUUAGGUAUAUAUCAAGUAAUAAAAACGAAUGUCCACUCCAAAUUUGGUACAUGGGUUUUUUCUUAGACUGAGUCUUGGCUUUGGUGCCCCUGUUUCUCGUUCUUAAAGGUUAGUGGUAUUUUCAUGGGCUCUAAUCUGGGAGAUCAGACGAUAUCUUGUCCUGCCUUGGGAAGGUGGGGACAACAGAGAGGGAUUGCUAAGGCCAGGGAACUGUCUGUGCUCAUGUGGGAGGGGCUCAAAGGCAGAAAAAUGCAGUGGGGCACAUUUGGCAAUUGGGAG